rnacentral:rRNA from 1 species
AUGGAUCCUUGCGACAAACUACAUGUGCGGUUUCAUUUUGGUGGCCAAUUUGUUCGAAUUGGGCCUACUUUAGACUAUGUUGGUGGAGAUGAAGCAAGUUCAGAGAUUGAAAGGGAUAGAUUGUCUUUGCCAGAGAUCAAAGGCUUUCUUGGUGAUCACAUACCAGUGAAAGAAAGUAUGAAGAUUCACUUCCUGAUGCCUGGUAAAAAACUAGUGGAUGGCCUAUUAUUUUUGUGUGAUGAUGUUGGUUGUAUGAAGAUGUCUGAAUAUAUAACUGAUGGAGGAGUGGCUGAGGUCUAUGUGGAGUAUUUUGGGGAGCAAGAUGAUCAGAGUGCAAGUGACAAUGGUAGUGAUUUUGAAAAUGAGAUGGACAAUGAUUUAGAAGGAGAGACUGAUGUAGAACCAGAUGCAGUCAUAACUGCAGAUGAUGAUGUGCAAAUAAUUAGUGUGGAUCCAUCAUCAUAUGAUGAGGAAAGUGAUCAUGAAGGAGAAUUUGUUAGGAGGAAAACUAAGUUCCCUAGGUACAACCCUAAGGUAGAUAUUCCACUAUUCUGCUUGGGAAUGUUUUUCAGGAGCAAUGAACAGAUGAGGAAGGCACUAAUAAAAUAUGGACUUCUGACAUUUAGAAGUAUAAACUUCAUGAAGUCAGAAGAAGGGAGGAUCAGGGCUAAGUGUGGAUGGCCUGGAUGUUCGUGGACUAUAUAUGGUGCUUAUAGUAGCAUGUGUUCUAGAUUUCAGGUGAUCACAUAUGAAGAUCAACAUGAGUGUGCACCUAACAGAGACAAUCACCUUGUCACAGCAAAAGUUAUUGCUAGGAGAUAUGAGCACAUCUUAAGAGCCAAUCCGACAUGGAAAAUUGAUAGCAUUAAAGCCACGGUUCUGAAAGAUUUCUUUGCGGAUGUUUCAACAUCAAAGUGCAAGGCUGCUAAGAAGAUAGUGUCAGAGAAGCUACUUGCCGGACUGAAAGAUGAGUACACCAAGGUGUUCGACUACCAGCUUGAACUACUUAGGAGCAAUCCUGGGAGCACAAUCCUUGUUGGCUUGAACCCUGAGUACAUGGAUCAAAAUAUUUUCCAAAGCUUCUAUGUAUGCUUCAAUGCUAUGAAAAAGGGUUCUAAAGCUUGCAGAAGAGUUAUUGGGCUUGAUGGCUGUUUUUUCAAAGGAGCAUGUCAAGGUGAGCUUCUAUGUGCUAUUGGUAGAGAUGCUAAUAAUCAAAUGUAUCCAGUAGCUUGGGCAGUAGUGGAGAAAGAAACUAGUGAAUCUUGGGAGUGGUUUGUUGGCCUUUUGAUAAAGGACUUGGAUAUUAAUGAUCAAGGUGAAGGAUGGGUGUUCAUAUCAGAUCAACAGAAGGGCCUUAUCAAUGCAAUGCAAAACUACGUACCAAAGGCACAACAUAGAAUGUGUGCUAGACACAUCUAUGCUAACUGGAAAAAAAAGUUUAGAGAGCAUGCUCUGCAAAAGAAAUUUGGGCAAUUGCCAAGGCUGCAAAUAGAGAAGAUUUCAUGUAUAGGAAGGCCAAGUUAG